GUAUCAAUGCUCCAAAUUUCAUCAAAAAAUCAUUGCUCAUUUCUUUAUCAUGGUUGGGAAUGAUAUCAACCAUUCGAUCACUCAUCAAAUUUGAUUUGGAUCGUUGAUCAGUGUAGAGGAUCCUUUCUCUCAGCCAGCAACUCACCGCUGCCAUCCGAUCGAGUAAACUAGCCACUGUCGAUCAUUCGAUCGUGCAAUCCCUGUGGGCCAC
rnacentral:lncRNA from 1 species